AGUGAACGCUGGCGGUAGGCCUAACACAUGCAAGUCGAACGGCAGCGCAGUAAGAGCUUGCUCUUACGGGUGGCGAGUGGCGGACGGGUGAGGAAUACAUCGGAAUCUACUUUUUCGUGGGGGAUAACGUAGGGAAACUUACGCUAAUACUGCAUACGACCUACGGGUGAAAGCAGGGGAUCUUCGGACCUUGCGCGAUUGAAUGAGCCGAUGUCGGAUUAGCUAGUUGGCGGGGUAAAGGCCCACCAAGGCGACGAUCCGUAGCUGGUCUGAGAGGAUGAUCAGCCACACUGGAACUGAGACACGGUCCAGACUCCUACGGGAGGCAGCAGUGGGGAAUAUUGGACAAUGGGCGCAAGCCUGAUCCAGCCAUACCGCGUGGGUGAAGAAGGCCUUCGGGUUGUAAAGCCCUUUUGUUGGGAAAGAAAAGCAGCAGGUUAAUACCCCGCUGUUCUGACGGUACCCAAAGAAUAAGCACCGGCUAACUUCGUG
rnacentral:rRNA from 1 species